UACGUAGGGGGCAAGCGUUAUUCGGAAUUAUUGGGCGUAAAGGGCGCGUAGGCGGCCUUUCAAGUGACGGGUGAAAUCCCCCGGCUUAACCGGGGAACUGCCUGUCAGACUGGGAGGCUUGAGACCGGGAGAGGUGAGUGGAAUUCCCAGUGUAGCGGUGAAAUGCGUAGAUAUUGGGAGGAACACCAGUGGCGAAGGCGGCUCACUGGACCGGUUCUGACGCUGAGGCGCGAAAGCGUGGGGAGCAAACGGGG
rnacentral:rRNA from 1 species